UGGCUGGACUGUCUAUAACAAUAGUCAGAGUUGGCGCUGCUUUUAUAUCACAACCGCCUCAUAAACGGCCGACUAGCACAUGGUUAAUAAAACAAAUGCAUAAGAAUCUCCCCUACCAAUGAAGACUUAUUUAAGCUUCAAACUAAAACUGUACAGUAAAAAUGUACAUUAAAACUGAUCAUUUAAGCUACACAAUGAAACAGUAAUCGGAAAACUAAAGCUAUAGCUGAAAUUGAACACUGACGGUGUUCACUGAAGGUGAACACUGAACUUGUAUACUAAAUUCAGCGCUUUAAAAUUUGACUACUACUUGUAACAAAUUUAUGUUCACAGUGUAAAAUAAAUACAUUUUAACAGUGUAACUUUCUCGUUUAUUCAAUUUUAUAUCACUAUAAAUCCUUGAUAGGUACGAAAGCGAAAAGACGGCUGCGGUGAAACGAAUUACGUAGAAUUUGUUGCUAAUUUAUGGCAAACUGCAAAUAUAAUCUUGUCAAAGGUAGUACCGUAUAAUUACUUACCUACCAAGAGUUGUUUUUUGAAAUUUGAGUUCGAUUAGACGGUUUUUUGAAAAGGGAUUUGUUGCCAAGUCCCUUUUAUUUUUGGGUUUAUAUGGUUUAUGUUGAAAAUUUGGUUUUGGAUCAAGUUUUAAAUAUAAAGCGAAGCUGCUGUGCAGAAGAAAUACUUACCACGUUUGGGGUUCGACGUUUUUUUGGGUUGUUGUCAAAAGGCGCCGAGGCAAGCGUUCAUUUGUUGGGAGUAACCUUCCGUGAAAAACCUCUGUGGAUAAUCCUACCGCCAUUCAAUCUGGAAAAUUCGAAGUUCAAUUUAUAACAAUACACAAAUCAGUUGAUAAAUUAUAUGUACUUACCUACGACCAUUGCGCCGACCUGAUUAGCUGGCAUAUUUUACCUAUUUUUUGUAAACGUUGUUUUCACGUUAUAUACUGCAUCUAUA